UUGCCUCAGCAUCAAGUAGGUUGCCGUGA
rnacentral:piRNA from 1 species